AUAUUCUAAAAUUACAUAUUCUAAAAUUGGAACGAUACAGAGAAGAUUAGCAUGGCCCCAGCUCAAGGAUGACACGCAAAUUCGUGGUGGGGGCGCAAUGGCC